rnacentral:ncRNA from 1 species
UGUCCUCUCCAUGUCUCCACUGAUAUGGGAUUCAGCCCGCCAGCACUGGCGGGCUUUUUUUC